AUUGAACGCUGGCGGCAUGCUUUACACAUGCAAGUCGAACGGCAGCGCGGGGGCAACCCUGGCGGCGAGUGGCGAACGGGUGAGUAAUGCAUCGGAACGUAUCCUGUAAUGGGGGAUAACGUAGCGAAAGUUACGCUAAUACCGCAUACGCUCGAGAGAGGAAAGUGGGGGGAUCGCAAGACCUCACGUUAUAGGAGCGGCCGAUGUCCGAUUAGCUAGUUGGUGGGGUAAAGGCCUACCAAGGCGACGAUCGGUAGCUGGUCUGAGAGGAUGAUCAGCCACACUGGGACUGAGACACGGCCCAGACUCCUACGGGAGGCAGCAGUGGGGAAUUUUGGACAAUGGGCGAAAGCCUGAACCAGCCAUGUCGCGUGAAGGAUGAAGGUCCUAUGGAUUGUAAACUUCUUUUGCAGGAGGGUAAAGUGAGCUACGUGUAGUUCAUUGCAAGUACCCUGCGAAUAAGCAUCGGCUAACUCCGUG
rnacentral:rRNA from 1 species